CAUCUCAAAUCCUCCACCACCAUCACCUCAGAGUCACAAUCAUCACUACCACCUUCACCUCAAAAUCCACCACCAUUGUCACCUUCAACAAACCUCAAGCACAGACGUAGAAGCAAAGCAUAGGACCAACUAAAAAGCAAAUUCUGAUCCAAUUGAUGAAGCCAUGACUGGAGUGGUAGAAAAUUGGGAUGGUGAAGCUUGGGUGUAAGUCUGUGAUGUGGGUCCCAUCGAUGAUGUCAAAUCUAAGGUUUUUGGUUCGCACAUUCGAGAGCUCUUUUUUCUUGUGCAGAUUUUAGCCUCAACAUGGUGUUGGGGCCAAUCAAGUGUGGGGAUUGCAAUUUGAAAGUGAAUCCGUAAAUGGCAGGUGGUGGGAAGUAGAGGCUAGAGAUGGCAGCCGAAGGUGUUCGUGGGGGUGAAAAUGGGGAUCGCAGUUCGUAUGGAAUGAGGUGGGAUGAGACGUAGGCACCUAAUUUUGGAAAGAAAUUUUUUUUGAUCUAAUUAUUGAGAUGAAAAAUUUAAAAACAGGUGUGUAUAAUUUUCCCAUGUUUUUGGCCAGGAACCGACUAUUCGUACAGAAGGGUUGAUAGAAUGAUGUGGAAAUGAAAAAACCAGGUGGAUGGAAACCGGCCCAAUAUGUAUACCCCUUUCACCUCCAAGAACAUCUAUUUUUUCCCUAAAUCUUUGAAACUCUACACGCCACGACAGAUCCAUUUUCUCUCCGUCUCUGACUUCAUUAAUCUUCUCCAAUUCUAUUGAAGAACUCAAUGACCCCGACGGAAUAUGCUUGGUCUAGUUUGUUGGUUUUCCAAUCGUAAGCCUUUCGCACGAUAUUCUUCCGUUUGAAGCCGCGAGCACUGUCUUCUUUGUCAGAAUCUAUAUCAAACUUUUGUCAAGUAUGAUAUUUGUUUACAUGGGUGUGUCAAUAUUGUUGAGCAUAUGUGUAUUUGCAUAUAGCUUGGACGAAUUUGAUAUGCUAUUUGUACACCAUUCGGUCCAAAUUUGUGUGUUCAUGAAUCUGAA
rnacentral:lncRNA from 1 species